AACGAACGCUGGCGGCAUGCCUAACACAUGCAAGUCGAACGAGACCUUCGGGUCUAGUGGCGCACGGGUGCGUAACGCGUGGGAACCUGCCCUUAGGUUCGGAAUAACUCCCCGAAAGGGGUGCUAAUACCGGAUAAUGUCUUCGGACCAAAGAUUUAUCGCCUUUGGAUGGGCCCGCGUUGGAUUAGCUAGUUGGUAGGGUAAAAGCCUACCAAGGCGACGAUCCAUAGCUAGUCUGAGAGGAUGAUCAGCCACACUGGGACUGAGACACGGCCCAGACUCCUACGGGAGGCAGCAGUGGGGAAUAUUGAACAAUGGGCGAAAGCCUGAUCCAGCAAUGCCGCGUGAGUGAUGAAGGCCUUAGGGUUGUAAAGCUCUUUUACCCGGGAUGAUAAUGACAGUACCGGGAGAAUAAGCUCCGGCUAACUCCGUG
rnacentral:rRNA from 1 species